rnacentral:rRNA from 1 species
CGCUGGCGGCGUGCCUCAGACAUGCAAGUCGAACGCGAAAGUUCCCUUCGGGGGGCGAGUAGAGUGGCGCACGGGUGAGUAACACGUGGGUAAUCUACCUUUGGGUGGGGAAUAACAGCCGGAAACGGCUGCUAAUACCGCAUAAUGCAGCGGCUCGACAUCGAGACAGUUGUUAAAGCGGGGGAUCGCAAGACCUCGCGCCUUAAGAGGAGCCUGCGGCGGAUUAGCUAGUUGGUGAGGUAAUGGCUCACCAAGGCAUCGAUCCGUAGCCGGCCUGAGAGGGCGGUCGGCCACACUGACACUGACAUAGGGGUCAGACUCCUACGGGAGGCAGCAGUCGGGAAUUUUGGGCAAUGGGCGCAAGCCUGACCCAGCAACGCCGCGUGAAGGAUGAAAUCCCUCGGGAUGUAAACUUCGCAAGAACAGGAAGAAUAAGUGGGGGACAAUACCCCCCAUGAUGAUGGUACUGUUUGUAAGCUCCGGCUAACUCCGUGCCAGCAGCCGCGGUAAUACGGGGGGAGCAAGCGUUGUUCGGAUUUACUGGGCGUAAAGGGCGCGUAGGCGGUCGUGACAAGUCACUUGUGAAAUCUCCGGGCUUAACUCGGAAAGGUCAAGUGAUACUGUCGGACUAGAGUGCAGAAGGGGCAACUGGAAUUCUCGGUGUAGCGGUGAAAUGCGUAGAUAUCGAGAGGAACACCUGCGGCGAAGGCGGGUUGCUGGGCUGACACUGACGCUGAGGCGCGAAAGCCAG